GACGAACGCUGGCGGCGUGCUUAACACAUGCAAGUCGAACGGAAAGGCCCUGCUUUUGUGGGGUGCUCGAGUGGCGAACGGGUGAGUAACACGUGAGUAACCUGACCUUGACUUUGGGAUAACUUCAGGAAACUGGGGCUAAUACCGGAUAGGAGCUCCUGCUGCAUGGUGGGGGUUGGAAAGUUUCGGCGGUUGGGGAUGGACUCGCGGCUUAUCAGCUUGUUGGUGGGGUAGUGGCUUACCAAGGCUUUGACGGGUAACCGGCCUGAGAGGGUGACCGGCCACAUUGGGACUGAGAUACGGCCCAGACUCCUACGGGAGGCAGCAGUGGGGAAUAUUGCACAAUGGGCGGAAGCCUGAUGCAGCAACGCCGCGUGCGGGAUGACGGCCUUCGGGUUGUAAACCGCUUUCGCCUGUGACGAAGCGUGAGUGACGGUAAUGGGUAAAGAAGCACCGGCUAACUACGUG
rnacentral:rRNA from 1 species